GCUGAGCUGAAUCGAGCUGUUUGGGUUAUGGGUGGAGAGGAGCACUAGAAAAUUAUCUACACAAGGAAGCAGGAGUAUGGGGAAAGGCAUUCAUUGCUUGCCUGUUACAUGCCAGACCUGAUACCAAUGUGGAAACUAUGAGGAUGAAUUCUUUCCUGUCCCCAAGAAGAGUGGAGGCUCUUCCAGCCACAUGGCUUCUUCUUCACUGUUGUUCAGACACGCGGAGUACACCCCUGCCUCUGGACCCUUGAACUUGCUCCUCCCUCUGAUCACUUCCCUAGUGGAACCCUGUGUUCCUUACUCUAUUCCAGUCUCUGCUCGAAUGUCCUUUCAGUAGGAAGGGCUCUCCUGACCAUCUCAAGAGAAUGGCAACAUCAGUGUGCCUUGUGUUGAACGGUGGCUCUCCCAAAACAUGCACCCACAGACGAAUCUCCAGGACCUGGGAAGUGACCUUAGUCACAAAAGGGUCCUUACAGAUAUAAUUAAGAUGGUCUCAUCCUGGAUUGUUUGGGUAGGCUCUAAAUCAAAUCAUUAGCAUCCUUAUAAAAGAAUGAUGGCGGAGAAGCCGUGUGAAGAUGGAGGCAGAGAUUGGAGUGGUGCCAGCUACAGGAUGCAGGAACACUGACGGCCAUCAGGAGUGACGAGGCCUGGAAGGUUCUCUCCCAGAGUCCCUGGAGGAAGCACGCCCUACCAAUACUGUAAUUUUGAACUUCUGACCUCCAGAUGUGUGAAAGAAUAAAUUUCUGUUGUUUUUAUGCCACCAA